rnacentral:rRNA from 1 species
GACGAACGCUGGCGGCGUGCUUAACACACGCAAGUCGAACGGAAAGGCCCCUUCGGGGGUACUCGAGUGGCGAACAGGUGAGUAACACGUGAGUAACCUGCCCUUGACUUCGGGAUAACUUCAGGAAACUGGGGCUAAUACCGGAUAGGAAUCCUUGCUGCAUGGUGGGGGUUGGAAAGCUUCGGCGGUUUUGGAUGGACUCGCGGCUUAUCGGCUUGUUGGUGGGGUAGUGGCUUACCAAGGCUUUGACGGGUAGCCGGCCUGAGAGGGCGACCGGCCACAUUGGGACUGAGAUACGGCCCAGACUCCUACGGGAGGCAGCAGUGGGGAAUAUUGCACAAUGGGCGGAAGCCUGAUGCAGCAACGCCGCGUGCGGGAUGACGGCCUUCGGGUUGUAAACCGCUUUCAGCAGGGGCGAAGCUUGUGCUGACGGUACCUGCAGAAGAAGCACCGGCUAACUACGUG